rnacentral:rRNA from 1 species
GACGAACGCUGGCGGCGUGCCUAAUACAUGCAAGUAGGACGCACAGUUUAUACCGUAGCUUGCUACACCAUAGACUGUGAGUUGCGAACGGGUGAGUAACGCGUAGGUAACCUGCCUAUUAGAGGGGGAUAACUAUUGGAAACGAUAGCUAAUACCGCAUAACAGUAUGUAACACAUGUUAGAUGCUUGAAAGAUGCAAUUGCAUCGCUAGUAGAUGGACCUGCGUUGUAUUAGCUAGUAGGUAGGGUAAAGGCCUACCUAGGCAACGAUACAUAGCCGACCUGAGAGGGUGAUCGGCCACACUGGGACUGAGACACGGCCCAGACUCCUACGGGAGGCAGCAGUAGGGAAUCUUCGGCAAUGGGGGGAACCCUGACCGAGCAACGCCGCGUGAGUGAAGAAGGUUUUCGGAUCGUAAAGCUCUGUUGUUAAGGAAGAACGAGUGUGAGAAUGGAAAGUUCAUACUGUGACGGUACUUAACCAGAAAGGGACGGCUAA